GGGCGCACGGUGGAUGCCUUGACACUAGGAGUCGAUGAAGGACGGGACUAACGCCGAUAUGCUUCGGGGAGCUGUAAGUAAGCUUUGAUCCGAAGAUUUCCGAAUGGGGAAACCCACCAUACGUAAUGGUAUGGUAUCCUUACCUGAAUACAUAGGGUAAGGAAGACAGACCCAGGGAACUGAAACAUCUAAGUACCUGGAGGAAGAGAAAGCAAAUGCGAUUUCCUGAGUAGCGGCGAGCGAAACGGAACAUAGCCCAAACCAAGAGGCUUGCCUCUUGGGGUUGUAGGACAUUCUAUACGGAGUUACAAAGGAACGAGGUAGACGAAGCGACCUGGAAAGGUCCGUCGUAGAGGGUAACAACCCCGUAGUCGAAACUUCGUUCUCUCUUGAAUGUAUCCUGAGUACGGCGGAACACGUGAAAUUCCGUCGGAAUCUGGGAGGACCAUCUCCCAAGGCUAAAUACUCCCUAGUGAUCGAUAGUGAACCAGUACCGUGAGGGAAAGGUGAAAAGCACCCCGGAAGGGGAGUGAAAGAGAUCCUGAAACCGUGUGCCUACAAAUAGUCAGAGCCCGUUAACGGGUGAUGGCGUGCCUUUUGUAGAAUGAACCGGCGAGUUACGAUCCCGUGCGAGGUUAAGCUGAAGAGGCGGAGCCGCAGCGAAAGCGAGUCUGAAUAGGGCGUUUAGUACGUGGUCGUAGACCCGAAACCAGGUGAUCUACCCAUGUCCAGGGUGAAGUUCAGGUAACACUGAAUGGAGGCCCGAACCCACGCACGUUGAAAAGUGCGGGGAUGAGGUGUGGGUAGCGGAGAAAUUCCAAUCGAACCUGGAGAUAGCUGGUUCUCCCCGAAAUAGCUUUAGGGCUAGCCUUAAGUGUAAGAGUCUUGGAGGUAGAGCACUGAUUGGACUAGGGGUCCUCAUCGGAUUACCGAAUUCAGUCAAACUCCGAAUGCCAAUGACUUAUCCUUAGGAGUCAGACUGCGAGUGAUAAGAUCCGUAGUCAAAAGGGAAACAGCCCAGACCGCCAGCUAAGGUCCCAAAGUGUGUAUUAAGUGGAAAAGGAUGUGGAGUUGCUUAGACAACUAGGAUGUUGGCUUAGAAGCAGCCACCAUUUAAAGAGUGCGUAAUAGCUCACUAGUCGAGUGACUCUGCGCCGAAAAUGUACCGGGGCUAAAUACACCACCGAAGCUGCGGAUUGAUACCGAAUGGUAUCAGUGGUAGGGGAGCGUUCUAAGGACAGUGAAGUCAGACCGGAAGGACUGGUGGAGUGCUUAGAAGUGAGAAUGCCGGUAUGAGUAGCGAAAGACGGGUGAGAAUCCCGUCCACCGAAUGCCUAAGGUUUCCUGAGGAAGGCUCGUCCGCUCAGGGUUAGUCAGGACCUAAGCCGAGGCCGACAGGCGUAGGCGAUGGACAACAGGUUGAUAUUCCUGUACCACCUCUUUAUCGUUUGAGCAAUGGAGGGACGCAGAAGGAUAGAAGAAGCGUGCGAUUGGUUGUGCACGUCCAAGCAGUUAGGCUGAUAAGUAGGCAAAUCCGCUUAUCGUAAAGGCUGAGCUGUGAUGGGGAAGCUCCUUAUGGAGCGAAGUCUUUGAUUCCCCGCUGCCAAGAAAAGCUUCUAGCGAGAUAAAAGGUGCCUGUACCGCAAACCGACACAGGUAGGCGAGGAGAGAAUCCUAAGGUGUGCGAGAGAACUCUGGUUAAGGAACUCGGCAAAAUGACCCCGUAACUUCGGGAGAAGGGGUGCUUUCUUAACGGAAAGCCGCAGUGAAUAGGCCCAAGCGACUGUUUAGCAAAAACACAGCUCUCUGCGAAGCCGUAAGGCGAAGUAUAGGGGGUGACACCUGCCCGGUGCUGGAAGGUUAAGGAGAGGGGUUAGCGUAAGCGAAGCUCUGAACUGAAGCCCCAGUAAACGGCGGCCGUAACUAUAACGGUCCUAAGGUAGCGAAAUUCCUUGUCGGGUAAGUUCCGACCCGCACGAAAGGUGUAACGAUUUGGGCACUGUCUCAACCAGAGACUCGGUGAAAUUAUAGUACCUGUGAAGAUGCAGGUUACCCGCGACAGGACGGAAAGACCCCGUGGAGCUUUACUGUAGCCUGAUAUUGAAUUUUGGUACAGUUUGUACAGGAUAGGCGGGAGCCUUUGAAACCGGAGCGCUAGCUUCGGUGGAGGCGCUGGUGGGAUACCGCCCUGACUGUAUUGAAAUUCUAACCUACGGGUCUUAUCGACCCGGGAGACAGUGUCAGGUGGGCAGUUUGACUGGGGCGGUCGCCUCCUAAAGUGUAACGGAGGCGCCCAAAGGUUCCCUCAGAAUGGUUGGAAAUCAUUCGUAGAGUGCAAAGGCAUAAGGGAGCUUGACUGCGAGACCUACAAGUCGAGCAGGGACGAAAGUCGGGCUUAGUGAUCCGGUGGUUCCGCAUGGAAGGGCCAUCGCUCAACGGAUAAAAGCUACCCCGGGGAUAACAGGCUUAUCUCCCCCAAGAGUCCACAUCGACGGGGAGGUUUGGCACCUCGAUGUCGGCUCAUCGCAUCCUGGGGCUGUAGUCGGUCCCAAGGGUUGGGCUGUUCGCCCAUUAAAGCGGUACGCGAGCUGGGUUCAGAACGUCGUGAGACAGUUCGGUCCCUAUCCGUCGUGGGCGUAGGAAAUUUGAGAGGAGCUGUCCUUAGUACGAGAGGACCGGGAUGGACGCACCGCUGGUGUACCAGUUGUUCUGCCAAGGGCAUAGCUGGGUAGCUAUGUGCGGAAGGGAUAAGUGCUGAAAGCAUCUAAGCAUGAAGCCCCCCUCAAGAUGAGAUUUCCCAUAGCGUAAGCUAGUAAGAUCCCUGAAAGAUGAUCAGGUUGAUAGGUUCGAGGUGGAAGCAUGGUGACAUGUGGAGCUGACGAAUACUAAUAGAUCGAGGACUUAACCAU
rnacentral:rRNA from 1 species